AAAUCAAUAACAACAAUCACAUAAAUAGUUAAUUAAUCUUGCAUUACCACAAAACUUGGAAAAGAAAAUGGAGAAGGCAACAAUCCUUAAGGUUUUCUUGAUCUUCGUUUUGCUUAUAUUGCUUGGACAAGGAAGUCAUGCAAAACGAGCUUGCUCUAAUGAUGCUGAUUGUGCAAAGUUUAUUAGAUGCAUAGAUUCAAAACCCACAUGUGACUUGAAAAAACAUAGGUGCUUCUGUCCACCUCCUCCAAAUUAUGAAACAAAAAGAGUUCAGAAGAGUCGCCAAAACUAAUUUACAAUGUUUGUUAUUCAUAUGCAAAAUUGAACCAAGAUUUAUGUAUUUCCUUUUCAUAUAUAUAUAUAUAUAUAUAUGGUUCAAUAAAUAAAGAACCUUUUUGUCA